GGUCAUGUGGCCUAGUGGUCAUGGCAUCUGCCCGGUAAGCGGAAGGUCGUGGGUUCGAUUGACACUUUUUUUU